rnacentral:lncRNA from 1 species
UGGGCAUCUCAGUCAAAGAUGCUGUUGGUUCUGUGCCUUCUCCCAGCAUAAGCUAUACAGAGACAGCUGUAUCCUUAUCAAGGACUCCAUUAUGUAAUGAUGCAUUUGCAGCUAGAACACAUAUGUAGAGGGUAAGGACUACUCUGCUAAGUGGUCAGAAAUAGUAGGGAUUUAACUCUACUCCACCCAUUUAAAAGAAUCCUGGGAAAACUCUCAUCACUUUGGUUUGGUGGUUUCUUACCCACAUUAUGAUUUAUUAGAUUUCAAAAUUCAUCAAUGAAUUAAUAACAUGAAUUAAUGCCAUGUCUUGGGAAUGUAGUAUGCAGAUAUUCAUAGGUAGCGCCAUGGAGGAUCAAGUCACUAAAGAAAGAGGAUGCUAUUUGUCUUGGUUAGCAUUCGUGUUCCUGUGAUAGAGCACGAUGACCAAAACAACUUGGGCAGCAAAGGGUUUGUUCAGUUUAUGCUUCCACAUUGUAGUUCAUCAUUAAAGGGAGUCAGGACAGGAACUCAAACAACUCAGGGAUCUGGAGGCAGAUGCUGAUGCAGAACCCAUGUAGGAGUGCUGCUUACUGGCUUGUUCCUCAUGAUUUGCUCAGCUUGCCUUCCCAUGGAACCCAGUACCGCCAACUCAGGGAUAGCACCACACAUAAUGGGCUGGACCUUCCCACCUCAAUCACUAAUUAAGAAAAUGUCUUACAGCCUGAUCUUACGGAGACAGUUUUUUUGUUUGUUUUUGUUUUUGUUUUUUUCAGUUUAGGCUGCUCCCCUAUGAAGACUCUAGCUUGUAUCAAGUUGAUAUAAAACUAGCUAAUAUAAUAUGCCAAUUUCAAAAUAAGGGAGUGAAGUUGUUGAGUGUAUAGAAACAACAAACUCAUGUUACAAACAAUGCUUUCAGCUUUGUAACAGACGUUAGAUCUCUUUGGGGGAAAUAUAUUGAAGGGGUUCUAUUAGAGUGGCCUACAGACUGCAGCCCAGUUAGUUCAAAGGUGCCUGUCUCCAGUCUGAGAGUCCAAUUAUCUAGUUGUUCAUUCUAUGAGGCUGGAUGUCUCAGCUGGUCUUCAGUCUAAAUUGGAAUCCUGAAGAAGUAGGUUCUAACACCAGUGAAGGAAUGCCUCAGAAACAAGGUAGAUGAACUUGGCAGUGAGAGUGAGGACAAGCAAGCAAAAAGCUUCCUUUUCCAUGUCCUUUUGUGUGAACUGCCAUCAGAAGACAUGGCAGGGAUUUAGGGUGGUUCUUCCCAGUUCAAGUGGUCCAAUCAAGAAAAUUCUUC